rnacentral:lncRNA from 1 species
UUAUUUAGUGUUUUGAAAAAGUAGAUACUGUGCAAGUGGAAGGAAGUAGUGAGAAUAAGAUAUAGAAGGAAGAUCUGGUGGGACAAAGAAGCACACAUGCUUCAAAGUCUCAGACUCCAGAUCCACAUGCUCCUUUUUCUUUUUCCUAUUUCGCUAUUUUUUCUUCAAAACACAACAACGACACAUUAUAUUAAUAUUAUCAUCUUCGGAAAAUGCUCUCUUCUGUUCGUGAUUCCUGACUUGGUGUGUGCGUGUCCCAGAGAUCACUACCCUCAAACAUCGCACGUGCAUUCUACGAUCCGAAUAUAAAAAGGUAUAUUCUUUCAAAACCUGGAAAAAUUAAAAAAUUAAAAAAAAAAAAUCUCGUCUUUUGUAUCGAUGUUCGUAAACAAUUUUUUUAAUGUUUAAAUAAAAACAUUAUUAUGCACUGAAUAAAACCAAAUUGACUAUCCCUUCUUAAUUUCGCGCUUAGAAUCGCGAACCGUUGAUUGUCAAAACAUAAUCUCCAUUGUGCAGAUCAAACGGUGCAAAACUUUCCUCUUGCAAUGCGGGCACCCAGUGUGAGUGAUAGAUAGUUAGCAAACCAGAAUCGGCUUUCGCCGGUUUUGGCCAAAAGGGUGGGCGGUGGAUGCGAUGAGUGCGGGUGGGACCGUGUUACAGUACAGAUCCCAUCCAACGGUCUGAGUCCAACGUCAUGGGAUUACGUGUGAAGAUCCAACGGCUGGGAGAUGUACAAGAUAAGGGAAUAGAUUCCUCUUAACUUUUUUGUUUUUAUGGUUAUUGUUUUAUGGAUGAUCUACAAGAUUGCAUAAACCCAACGAUAAAGUGCUCUCCAAAAAUUUUAGCAAAUUAAUCUAUUACUUUUACCAAACAUAUCAUAUUCCAGAAAUUCAUUAUGUUCGUUAAGUUUAAUCGUAUUUAGUUAGAUUAAAACAUAUGGACAUUUUACGUAUGAAUAUAUUUAUUUGUUCACG